rnacentral:rRNA from 1 species
GAUGAACGCUGGCGGCGUGCCUAAUACAUGCAAGUCGAGCGAAGAGUCGAGGAGCUUGCUCCUCUGACGUUAGCGGCGGACCGGUGUGUAACACGUGGGUAUCAUACCUAUGAGACUGGCAUUACUCCGGGAAACAGGAGCUAAAAUCGGAUAAUAUUUCGAAAUAAAUGGUUCAAUACUCAUGGUCGGAUCUGCUAACAUUUAAACAGGGAUAGGCGCCGCCUUAGCUAGUUUGGAAGGUAACGACUUUCCAAGGCAACGAUGCCGAGCCGCCAUAAGAGGGACGGCGGGCACACUGGAAGAGAGACACGGUCCCGACUCCGACGGGAGGCAGCAGUAGGGAAUCUUCCGCAAUGGGCGAAAGCCUGACGGAGCACCACCGCGUGAGUGAUGAAGGUCUUCGGAUCGUAAAACUCUGUUAUGAGGGAAGAACAAAUGUGUAAGUAACUAUGCACGUCUUGACGGUACCUAAUCAGAAAGCCACGGCUAACUACGUG